UGAAUAUAAUUACAUUCCAAUUGAAGACUGGAGAAAGUUAGUGGCUAAUAGGUUGUCAAAAGAGUUUCAAGUUAAAUCAAAAAAAGGAAAAGAAAGGAGGGCAAAAUACGUUUAUAUUCAUCGAGUGAGUAGGAAAGGAUAUGCAGGACUUCAAGAAGAAUUGAUGCAAAAGACAGGUUCGAGGAAACCUAUUGAUAGAUGGGUCUUGUGGAAGCUAGCAAGAUUGAAAAAAGGUGAAUAUGAUGAAGUUACGAGGCCUGUAGUGGAAAAGAUUGAUGAGUUGACAAAGGCUGUUGAGGAAGGGAAGAUCACAUGUGUUGGCCAAAAGGAUAUCCUCACUUUAGCAUUGGGUACAUUAGAGCAUCCUGGACGGGUUAGAGGAAAAGGUGGAAAAAAAAAAGCCCAAACAAUUCUUCAACACACCAAAACCCACAAAAACUCUUGAAGAGGAGGAAUGUCAAAGGAUGUUAAUGGAGAAAGUCAAGAGCUUGGAAGAGGAGAUCAUUGCUUUGAAAGCUGGAAAAAAAGAACCCCUCACACCCCGCUCUGAAGUGAGCAACACAAACAUAAGGAAACAAUUGUUGCAACAUGAAGAAAUAGGAGGGAAGACUCAUGAUAGUGCUCAUGUGGAGAACCUAUCAGCACAAGGGACUCGAAAAGCUUCUCCACUAACUCAG